GCACUAAUAGCUUAGUAGUUAAAGCAUCGGUCUUGUAAUCCGAAGAUCGGGGGCUAAAUCCCUCCUUAGUGCC
rnacentral:tRNA from 1 species